UGAGGAUGUGUAAAGUCUAUUCUCACACAAACCAUUUUAGACAACUCAUUAUGCUCUGACGUACCUUGCAGCAGUGUUUUCUGGCUACUUACCAGUUAUCUGCUAUCAUAGUUAAAGGGUCACUGUAGUCACUAUAAGCAUUUCAUCUCUUUGAAUUGGUUAUAGUGCCUGGAGUACCCUGGCACUGUCCCUCCAUUCAGUGUUGCACCAUGUUUGUGCAGUAUGCCACAAAAUAAGAGUCCCUGGCCACCCACAGUCCGGCCCCUUCAGUAUGUGUAGCUAAGGCAGAGAUUACACACUUCCUUGUCAUACCCACUCAUACCGUCAGUUGGAACUCUGACAGGCUAAAAGUAGUCAGCUGACACUCUCAGC